UACGAAGGGGGCUAGCGUUGUUCGGAUUUACUGGGCGUAAAGCGCACGUAGGCGGAUCUUUAAGUCAGAGGUGAAAUCCCAAGGCUCAACCUUGGAACUGCCUUUGAUACUGGGGAUCUCGAGUUCGGGAGAGGUGAGUGGAACUGCGAGUGUAGAGGUGAAAUUCGUAGAGAUCCGGAAGAACACCGGUGGCGAAGGCGGUCUGCUGGGCCAAGACUGACGCUGAGGCGCGACAGCGUGGGGAGCAAACAGG
rnacentral:rRNA from 1 species